CCUACGGGAGGCAGCAGUGAGGAAUAUUGGUCAAUGGACGAGAGUCUGAACCAGCCAAGUAGCGUGAAGGAUGACUGCCCUAUGGGUUGUAAACUUCUUUUAUAUGGGAAUAAAAUGUUCCACGUGUGGGAUUUUGUAUGUACCAUAUGACUAAGGGUCGGCUAACUCCGUGCCAGCAGCCGCGGUAAUACGGAGGAUCCGAGCGUUAUCCGGAUUUAUUGGGUUUAAAGGGAGCGUAGGUGGAUUGUUAAGUCAGUUGUGAAAGUUUGCGGCUCAACCGUAAAAUUGCAGUUGAAACUGGCAGUCGUGAGUACAGUAGAGGUGGGCGGAAUUCGUGGUGUAGCGGUGAAAUGCUUAGAUAUCACGAAGAACUCCGAUUGCGAAGGCAGCUCACUGGACUGCAACUGACACUGAGGCUCGAAAGUGUGGGUAUCAAACAGGAUUAGAUACCCGAGUAGUC
rnacentral:rRNA from 1 species